GUUGUGGCUCAGUGGUAGAGCAAUUGCCUAGCAGGCACGAGGCACUGGGUUGAAUCCCCAGCACCACA
rnacentral:tRNA from 1 species